rnacentral:sRNA from 1 species
UAUCCAUAAGAAUUAUAUUUACUUCGGGCAUAUUAUUAGUAUUGAC